GUCCUAUAGAUAAUAAUUUUAGGUCUAAUCUGCUCAAUGAAUUAUUAAAUGGCCGCGGUAUUUUGACCGUGCUAAGGUAGCAUAAUAAUUAGUUCUUUAAUUGGGAACUGGAAUGAAUGAUUGGACGAGAAUUAAACUGUCUCUUUUUAAAAAUUAGAAUUUUAUUUUUAAGUUAAAAAGCUUAAAUGUUUUAAAAAGACGAGAAGACCCUAUAGAUUUUUAUAAUUUCUUAUUUCAUUUUUUUUAGAAUUUAUUAAAAUUGAAUUAGGUUUUAUUUUGUUGGGGUGACAAAAAGAUUUAUUAAACUUUUUUUUGUUAAUACAUUAAUUUAUGAUUUUUUGAUCCAAAGUUUUUGAUUAUAAGAUCAAAUUACCUUAGGGAUAACAGCGUUAUCUUUCUUGAAAGUUCUUAUAGAUAGAAAGGUUUGCGACCUCGAUGUUGGAUUAAAAUUAAUUUUCAAUGCAGAAGUUGAAUUAUUUAGUCUGUUCGACUAUUAAAAUUUUGACUAUUAAAAUUUUUCAAUGCAGAAGUUGAAUUAUUUAGUCUGUUCGACUAUUAAAAUUUUGACUAUUAAAAUUUU
rnacentral:rRNA from 1 species